UGUGACGGGCCUUGUACACACCGCCCGUCACACCACGAAAGUCGGCAACACCCGAAGCCGGUGGCCCAACCGUAAGGAGGGAGCCGUCGAAGGUGGGGUCGGUGAUUGGGGUG
rnacentral:rRNA from 1 species